rnacentral:misc_RNA from 1 species
UGAGAAGAACCUUGAACUUUAUGAAUUCAUUCAUUUGAACUUGCAGGACCCACGAGUACUCCUUGAGAAGAACCUUCCUUCUUGCCACCAUCAUCCUGCACCUCAUUUUCAGGCUUCCUUAUCUUGAUCUUGUAUUUAGUUUCAAAUUCAGCAAUUUCCUUUUUCUUCUUUUCCAAGGCCUCAUUAAGCCUUGCAAUUACCUCCUCAAUCCCCUCUUUAUUGCGCUGGACAGCAGGCAGGACCUCUUUGAUAGUUCUCUCAACCAGCACACCUCCAAUCAUUCGGUAGCACCGUCUGGAUGGGUCAAGUGGUUGGAUAGCAUUAAUGACCAAUGAGUGCUCACUCACUUCCAUCUCAAGUUCAGUGAUCUUUGAGUAAAUUUGAUUCAGUUCAGACCGCAUAGCAGUGUAUGCAUUCACAACUGCCUGUUCAUUUAUUGGUUCCUUCCUAUCACCUUCAGCUUUGGAGGCCAUGAUUCUCUGACUAUCAGAGCAAAAAUGGAGUGGAGGUCCUGAGUGAGAAUCGGAGAGGCACAGUGGUAGCGACUCGACACUAGGAAGCUCGCCAAGCAAGAGGGGUUUUUCCGCUGGGGUUGGCCGCAGGUGACUUGGCGCUGGAUCACCAGUGAAAAUUAGGGCUCAUCCCAUCAACUUCGACAAAAUAGAGAGCCGGGUCUUUUCCAGUAUUCC